UGAAAUCUAGAGCCCACCUUCUUCAGACACUGGCAGAUGCUAGAGUUGAACUCACCAAUCUAUUAUCAGAUUUUGGAGAAAAGAAUUUUGUCGGAAUUCCUGACAAGACGUCAGGAACGAACAAGGAACAGCUUCAAGAACAUAUCUGCGGAGAUUGCUGGAACUAGUGUCCAGGUUGCGAAUAUCACAGUUGAUGAGGCCAAUCUAUCCAUGAAAAAAUUAGAUAGAGUUUAAUGCCCAGCUUCAAGAUCUUCAAAAGGAAAAGGUCUUUCUUGGUUUUUUAAAUUGACAGGCUGCACAAGGUUAUUGACUUAUCAGCACAGUUCACGAUCUUUGUGCUGUCCUUGCUCCUGGUGAUUUUUCAGAACUUUGUCGAACAUUAAAGAAGGUUAUCACCUAUGUAAACAUUAUUACUGUGGGAAAAUAAAGAAAAAAAAGGAAAAAAAAAAAGAAAUAAAGGAAAAAAAAGAAAUAAAAAAGGAAAAGAAAAGGGCAUCCUUGGUAGGGAUCCGAGAACCCUUCAUAAAGAAAAGGAUAAAAAGGAAGAAAAAAAAACAUUGCUGUUGCAGUUGAAGCUAUUCAAGCAUUGGGCAACUUUGCUAUGGAUCUGAGAACCCAUUUUUAGGCAAGAUGUCGCUUCUUAUUGCCUCUACUAUUGGAGAAAUUGUAGGAGAAGAAACCUACUUCAACUGAGGCCCUUACCCAAACUCUUCAGGCAAUGCCUAAGUCCAGAUGCUUGAGUGUAAAUGACACUGUUGAAG